GCCAGACUCCUACGGGAGGCAGCAGUGGGGGAUAUUGCACAAUGGGGGGAACCCUGAUGCAGCGACGCCGCGUGGGUGAAGGAGUAUUUCGGUAUGUAAAGCCCUAUCGGCAGGGAAGAAGCAAGACGGUACCUGACUAAGAAGCCCCGGCUAACUACGUGCCAGCAGCCGCGGUAAUACGUAUGGAGCAAGCGUUAUCCGGAUUUACUGGGUGUAAAGGGAGCGUAGGCGGCCUGCCAAGUCUGAUGUGAAAUACCGGGGCUCAACCCCGGGGCUGCAUUGGAAACUGACAGGCUGGAGUGUCGGAGAGGCAGGCGGAAUUCCUAGUGUAGCGGUGAAAUGCGUAGAUAUUAGGAGGAACACCAGUGGCGAAGGCGGCCUGCUGGACGAUGACUGACGCUGAGGCUCGAAAGCGUGGGGAGCAAACAGGAUUAGAUCCCCUUGUA
rnacentral:rRNA from 1 species